rnacentral:lncRNA from 1 species
CACCUCCACCACCACCAUACUACUACCACUCUCCUCCUCCUCCAGUCAAAUCACCACCGCCACCGUACUACUACCACUCCCCGCCUCCUCCGGUGAAAUCCCCACCACCACCAUAUUACUACCACUCACCACCUCCACCGGUGAAAUCUCCACCACCACCAUACUAUUACCACUCACCACCUCCUCCGGUGAAGUCUCCUCCACCACCAUACUACUAUCACUCUCCACCACCACCGGUGAAAUCUCCUCCUCCUUACUAUUAUCAUUCUCCACCUCCUCCGGUGAAAUCUCCUCCACCACCGUACUACUACCAUUCUCCACCUCCUCCAGUCAAGUCUCCACCACCACCGUACUACUAUCAUUCACCACCUCCUCCGGUGAAAUCUCCACCACCACCAUACUAUUACCACUCACCACCCCCACCUGUGAAAUCUCCUCCUCCACCAUACUACUAUCACUCACCUCCUCCUCCGGUGAAAUCUCCACCACCACCAUACUAUUACCAUUCACCACCCCCUCCAGUCAAAUCUCCUCCUCCACCAUACUACUACCACUCACCACCUCCUCCAGUGAAAUCUCCACCACCACCAUACUAUUACAACUCUCCACCACCACCGGUGAAAUCUCCUCCACCUCCAGUCUACAUCUACGCUUCUCCCCCACCUCCCACCCAUUACUAGGCUCAUCAAAUUCAACCAAAUUUCCCCAUUAUUCAAG